AUUCAAGAGAGACGCCGUCCGGCAGUGGCGCGGACAGCAUGUCGGGGUCCUGAGUCGGACUCGGCGCUCUGGCUGGGCGCAGUUUGCUCUUCCAAGCGGUAGGCGCUUGGCCUUGAGUUGCUUCUUCACCACACGUCUAAACACCUGGGCCACCCAGACUGUGGCCAGAGGAGCCGGUCAGACAGGCAACAGUAACUCAAGCUGUAUUUACCCAAGAAGAAACUCUGGGAGAUAAAAUACAGUGAAGUCCCUUGAAAAUAAGAGGAAAAAAACAAAACCGACCAACCAAUCAAAACAUUCAUAGCAAAUUUGAAAAUUCAACUUCAAGGUGACUGACUACGGGAACCCUAAGACAAUGCCAGCUCCAAUCUAAGAGAUCUCUGAACCAUAAAUGUGAGGAAAAGACACAUUGAUGCAUAAAAAUGGACAAAAAAAUGGAGCCAAGACAUGCCAGACUUCCAUGGAACCAAGAGGGACCUGACCAAGGACCUGCAAGGUAGACAACAAAGCCUAGAGGAAGUGCCAUUUCUGAGGAUGUACAUGGGACAUCAAAACAGUGGAAGAAAUAGGUGAAGACAUGAAAGCAACUUUCACUUGAAUGAGUUCAGAAUUAGCAUAUUCUUUCCUCGUGACUUCUUAAAGACCUCUCCACACAGGAGAAAAUAACUAUGCUGUAGAGUAAGCCCAACCCAAGUAUUAUUUCUUGGUUUUGAAAUUUAAAAUACAAAAUAAAUAAAAAUGUAAAUUACCA